UACGGAGGGAGCUAGCGUUGUUCGGAAUUACUGGGCGUAAAGCGCACGUAGGCGGCUAUUCAGGUCGGGGGUGAAAGCCCGGGGCUCAACCCCGGAACUGCCCUCGAAACUAGGUAGCUAGAAUCUUGGAGAGGCGAGUGGAAUUCCGAGUGUAGAGGUGAAAUUCGUAGAUAUUCGGAAGAACACCAGUGGCGAAGGCGACUCGCUGGACAAGUAUUGACGCUGAGGUGCGAAAGCGUGGGGAGCAAACAGG
rnacentral:rRNA from 1 species